UACGUAGGGGGGCGAGCGUUGUCCGGAAUCAUUGGGCGUAAAGAGCGUGUAGGCGGCUUGGCAAGUCUGACGUGAAAGCCCGCGGCUCAACCGCGGAUUGUCGUUGGAAACUGCCUCGCUAGAGUCCGGAAGAGGAGAGCGGAGUUCCUGGUGUAGCGGUGGAAUGCGCAGAUAUCAGGAAGAACACCCGUGGCGAAGGCGGCUCUCUGGGACGGUACUGACGCUGAGACGCGAAAGCGUGGGGAGCGAACAGG
rnacentral:rRNA from 1 species